UCAGGAUCUCUGACAAAGGAUUUUCCAGACUGCAGAAUUACAUACUCAGAGUGCACCAUGAGGAAUAUUCUCACACCACUCCUCAUCAUUGUUUCAAUUCUCAAAUGGAGUCAGCAAGAUACGGUGGAACAGCCAGACUCUGAAUUGGCAGUUAAAGAGGAAGGCAAUGUCACACUAACCUGCAGUUUGAAGACAAGCGAUCCCAACCCUUAUGUUCACUGGUACAGUCAGCUGCCAGGGCAGCCUCCAAGGUACAUGGUUUAUAUAGCUGGAGAAAACAUUGUCAAGAAGAAUCCAGAUGUUCCUGAACGAUUCGCUUUCAAAUUUACGAAAUCCACGAAGCAUGCGGAGUUAACAAUCAGCAUGGCCAUCAUCUCUGACUGUGCCAUGUAUUUCUGUGCAAUGACGCUCACACUGAUACAGAGUAAUGGCACAGCCCCUACAAAAACUCACGCUGAGAGUGCCAGUUAA